UGAGGAGCCCACAGCCCAGUCCUGCUACAACACCCAACGGUCCGCAUAGAAGUUCCAUAAUUGGUCCUGGACAUUAGUAAGAAUGCGGAAGAAACGCACACAUCAAUCAAAGACGCUUGUCUGGAGCUCACAUGAUAUGGCCUGAAAAAAAAACAUGAUCCUGAGAGGAACUGGCUUUACUCUACCGUCUGCUGAAUCCUGGUGUGAAACCUACAGGGGACUGAGGAGCCUUGAAGUGUGCUCCAGGAAAUACAUCCAUUUAUUUAUAGGUUCCUCAGGUUGAUGAAGUCGGGGGCUGAACAUGAAGAGAUGCCAGCGUGUGUUUAGUGAAGAAGACGACCGACGCUGUGGUGCGCCUGCUGGGUCAGCCAGGGCAUCACCACCCUCCGCUCCUCGGUGGUCCACACCUCCAUUCUCCACCAGACACACUCUCUGCGUCUGUGGCUCAGUGUAGCAGCUCACAAUGACGCAGUGGAGUCAUCAGAAGAAAAAGAAAUAACAUGCACAAGGACGCGAGUCUGUGUGGACAGUCUUCCUGGAAUGAUGUCCCUCUGUGUGUGACACAGAACAACACAGCAACAACAAAACAAGCUCAGUCAUCUACAGGUCAACCUCCACGUUGGACAUUUUUUGUGGAACCUGCUGAGGUGUUGGGGGAAAUACAAGUUCUCAGCUUCUGCGUCACUACUGAGAGCUCUGCAACAACACACAGACAAACGCAGGUAGAGCGACAACUCCUCCACGUCACAGACUCUGCUACUCUCCAGCUCGACCAUGAUGACAUGACAACUGCGAUGAAUGAAGAUCCUGGACCAGACCUGGUCUGAACAGGGUGUUUUAUUCAUCGCUGACUGGUUCUCUGUGAUUCAGCCGGUGCUUCUUAUCCAGAGUCCUGCAGAAAUGUCAGGAAUAAUGUCAACGUUUGCUGCCUUCAGUUUGGACCUUGUUGUUUCUGCUGUCAUUGGAUGAGGAUUUACCAGAGAACAGUUCAGAGGCUGAACUUUCACUGGAUGCUGUUUUUUUUGGAAACCCAUUCCUGUUAAUCCCUCAUCUGCUGAUUCAACAAUCUCCCCUUUUUCAACCUUCCUCUGACCUCGACCUGACGACUGUGCUGUCCCAACCUUUUUGGAUUGGAUUACAGAAGAAACCUUCACAUCCCAAAGUUUCACACGUUCACGGGAAAAUGAAAAAUAAAAUCCCCCAAAAGGAUAAAGCGGUGUCCUGACUGUGAGGCAUUAAAAACACGUUUGAGACGCAGCUCUGAGCGUCUUUGUGGCUGGAUUUGCCCAGGCUCAUGACUCAGUAUUGCUCAUCGUGUAAGAGAUGAUUUGCCCGCCAUUUCUCAAAAUGGUUUCUCUCCCUCUUUGUUCUUGCCUGUUUGCUUUAUCUGCUCAAGCCCAGAGUAUGUCUCAUGCUUUUGAACAUUUAUUUUAUUCCUCACCUCAGCGAUUAAUUUGCCUUUUUAUCCAGUCAAUGUUUAACCACUUGUAUAAUUUUCUGAGGUUUUAUUGAUGCUUAGAAAUUAUGAAAAAAACUGGGGGAUGGGAAUAGGAGAGAGGAGAGCUUUGUUUCCUUCCAAAGAAAUGAACUUGAUUUUUCUUUUUCUUUUUUUGAUACAGUGAGUAACUUAACUAACUCCUGUUGUGUUAUUUCAAGACUUCCUGUCUGCUUUUUGUCCCGUCACAUGAAAGAUAUGGUUACCUGGUGUGUAGAGUUAAUCAUUACUUAAAGGCUUCCUCAUUGCGAGCUCGAUCAUUGAACACGAUCUGUGUUUCUUCUGUGUGUGUGUGUGUGCCUGUGUAGGUGGGUACGAACGGAAAUUACUUUGCCUCCUUCAGAGAAAGUUACCAGUUCAGAACUCAACCGUAUGUCACAUGUCUGCCCACGCAGAGCUGCCUUCAGAUCUCUCCAGUGUCUCUGUGCUUUGAUGAUUGGACGUGAACGUGAACAAAAGACAUAGAAGUGGGGCAGAAGGACGGCAGUGGAACAACGAGUCAGGGAUUGUGAUUAUCAGUGUAUGACGGUCUUUACUGAGGGUUUGUUCAGUGAUUAAUCACUUACUCCGGCCUAAGGAUGGGCCACAGACCUGCUUUACUGGGGCAUUCUCCUCAGUCUCUCGCCUUUUUUUUUAACUGUGUGUGUGUAUAUAUAUAAAUAUAUAUGUAUGUAUUUGGGGAUAUGGUGGGGGGGCAAAAGUGUGGGGAGGGGGGUGUAGUGGUGUUCUUGUAGUUGGUGGCUAAAUCUUGUAAAGGGUUUCCUAAUAUGGGCCGUCUUACAGAACGCCCUCCCCCAGUGGGCCACCCCCCCCCCAGGUCUCAGCCAGUGAUGACACAGCUCGGGUACGACUCACUUCCUCAUUAAUUGGCUGAAACCAGUUCUUACAGGAACCGCCUGUGAUAAAUGUGCGAGUUCUGAGAAGUCAUUCAUUUCUCCUCUCUGCAGCAGCAGAGGAGGCACUGCAGGGGAGUUGAACGAGUUCACCGAUGUGUGUGUGUGAGUGUGUGUCAGGGAGAGAGCGCGGCGUAUGUGUGUGAGUGAGAGGAGAGCAGAGCAGAGCAGAGCGGGAGAAUGUGGGUGACUACUGAUGCCGGGGCUGUUGUGUGAAGACCGGCCAACUUUCUUUUCUUCCGUUUUCUUUUUUACUUUUGGGUUUUUCACUGUUUUUUUCUUCUUUUUUUUCUUUUUUUUUCUGUGACCGUGGUACGGUUUGAACUUUUUUCCCCCUCUUCUGUCCGUACGAGUGUGUGUGUGUGUGUGUUUGUGCGGAUUAACGUUGAAGGGCUUGCACUCGUUGCUCUCUCUGCCGUUCCCUCUCCUCAGAGGGAGGAAGCAGGAGAGAGCAGCUCAGUACAGGAGAUAGGACAGCAUGCCUCCCUUUGUUGCUGCCCUUGGGCUGGUGAGUAACAAUGAUGUGACGUGAUUUGUGCCCCCUCACCCCUUCUCCCUCCUCCCUCUCCUGUUCUUCCUCCAUGCCUUUCCCCCCUCCUCUCUCUUUUCUCUCUUCUUCCUUUCCUCCUCCCUCCUUCCCCCACCCCUCCUCUCUCUCUUUCUCUCUUUCUCUCUCUCUUCCUACGUUGGUUGGAGGCAGAUCUGUUCCACUGCUGGGUGCGGCACUGCAGAAGCCCUUCAGGGAGCACUUGGAGGCCCAGAAGGCCGAGCUGCACCAUCACACCAGUGAGGGGAUACUAACUGUAAGUACAGGGGCCCUCAGCCCCCGGCCCACAGCCUCUAUUCAUUCACAAGUGCGCGCUAAGUAAAGAAUGUGGCCCCUUACUUUUGCCUCUUUCGCUCCUUCUCGCUCCACUUUUUUUUCUCCGUCCUCUCCCUCUCUUUAUGUAAGCCUGUUUUUAAAUUUGUUUUCAGGCAUGGAAAUAAUAUUCAGUCACCUGUGCCUUUGGACUUGACUUUAAUUGUUAACAUUCACGUGAAAUGAAAACCCAGAGCAGGAGCGGAGGUUCCACCGUCCUCACUAACUUUGUCCUACUGUAGAUUACAGGGUCUUGUUUGGGGCCACAGUGACUGCACUGGGGCGGGCUGGAGGGGUGUGUGUGUGUGUGUGUGUGUGUGUGUGUCAGGGAGGAGGGGUGUCUGGCUCCACUCGCUGUAUUGAACUAUACUACUGUAGCGCGGGGCGUGCUGACUCAUGCUCCAUCGUACCAAUUGGGAGUGUGUGUGUGAGUGUAGUCACUCCCCUCUGUGUCUCACUCACACACACACUUGCACUCAAUGCUCCGCCUGAACCCGGCGAUGACUGUAGAUCGGGGCGGGGGCCAAGCUCCCACCACCACCAGCUCCAACCCUCCCCAUCAGUGACAAUCCAUCAAACCCCCCUGUCUAGAACAAAAAGAGCCAGUUGUAGCCGUAGCUUAUUCCUCCUUCAAAGGAUUUCUUUUCAUCCUCUCCGUUUCUCUUCCUCCCUUCGUCUUCCUUCUCCGAGUGAUUCGUUUCAGACCUUUUUCCCUCACUUGUGAGUCGACUAGAAGGAUAGGAGGAGGAAAGGAUAGACUUGUGAGUUGCACAAGGACAGAUUAAGGCAUUUCAAGAACAAUGUUCCUUUUUUCUUGUAACUUGAGCCUCCUGCAGUUACAGGAGAGAAGCAGGCCAAUUUAACUUGGUGGAGGGAGGCUGCAGGGGCUGGGGUCAGCGGGGGCGUUAGGAGGGAGGAUGGUGGGGGCUGCCGCAUGUUUUAUUACCCCUGAUCUCUAUCUGUCCAGCACAUGGAGCUGGAUCCCCACCUAGCCUAGAGCAUCAGGAGCAGAGGGGAGAACAGGGUGUCGGGUGUAUGAGGGGAGGAGUGAGUGUGGCUCUCAGUGAACUGACCCCAGACUCUUCUCUCUUUCUCUUUGCAUUUCCUGGCAGGAGGAGAACCGGUCGUCAUGACUCUUUGAGAAGAUUCUGGUCAUUGUGACAUGUUUCUUUGUCUGCUCCGUUGUCAACUGCGUGGCCCAGAGCCACGCCAACAGGAGGCAGCCGCCGAAACUCAAGGGACGAGUCAAGAGCGGCGAGGGGCCACGGUCAAGGCAGAUCAUCAGCCUCCAACCUCCUCUUUUCCUCCUUUCGACCGCUCCUGGCUAAUUGUCCACCACGGCGUCUGAAGCCACGCUCUGUCUCUUUUUUUCUUAUUAACAACAUGUAGAUGUUGAACUCGGAGAUUAUUUAAUUGCUUUUUUUAAGGUUUUGCAUUUGGUUGUGAUUUCAGCUGUUUUACUGUGUGAGGUAGGUGCCCGUGAGUUUUGUGACUGUGUGUGUAGCUGUUGUGUUGUCACAGUGUGUCAUGUUGUGGCCACAUGAGGUAAGACAAUGUGAGUAAUACAUUUCUAUGAGGCCUAGAUUUGAGCAGAAACUUACAGUACGGUAAUCAUAUUUCUGUACAGUCACCAAAAAUUGACUUCAUUAACAUUAGAGGGUGAUCAACAGAUUGAUUCCACGUGAGUGAUCUGAUGUGUUCAGUUGUCAUAUUUCCACCCAGUUCGUAUUUCUACCCUUAAAUAGAUUGUAUAUCAUUUGUGUUACAUGAGUUGUGCAGUGUUUGAGGACAGUGAAUAUCAGUCCUCCGUCUUUGUGUGUGGAUCACUCCACAGUCGUUUGUUGUAGUUGUUGAAUGAAUGUUUCCUUAAUUGUGUGAUGUAGGUGAAGCACUUUUGGAAGUUUUGGGCAGAGAGCUAAAUCGGCCAUGAAUCACUCUGCUGGUUCUUUGUCUGCGCUCAUUGUUCUGCUUCCAGGAAGAGAGCACAUGAGUCAGCCCGGAGCUACUUUACCAGAUGCAGACGCAUAUUGACUCAGAUCUACGACCGUGUGUGCUUGGCAGAGAGCGAGACACGGAUCGUAGGUCGUGUUCGCGUGGCCACGUUUGUUGCUGUCUUUUAUCUUUUUAUGGUUAAGCGCGGGUGGUGCUUCUCUAAUGGACAGGGAGUCCGCCCGGCAGUGUGAGUAUGUCAGAGUGUGGCUGUUCUUUUUUAGCUGUGUGACAGUCAAAAUGAUGGUUAGCGUUUGUAGUCUUUGUCUCGGUUGUCCUCGGAGCAUUAUAAAGUGCUUUCCUCCCCCGUGAUGAGAACCAAAUGCUCGUGUACGACAUCACACGAGACGCUCCUCAAACAUUUUAUGCGAUCAGUCUUCAUUUAUUUUUAUUGGACGUCGUCGGCUGGCUCCCUGCGCCAGUUUCAGCCUUUUCUCUGUAAUUGUCGAUGAAUUGUGCUAAUUUUUUUCCCUUCGUCUGUGUGCUGCUGCUGUGCUACGCUGGGCUGAGUGCAGUGAGUGCGAGCGCAGGAGAGAGAGAGAGAGAGAGAGAGAGAGAGAGGGAGGAAAAAAGGCUCCACUGCACAGUGAACAGCGUCUGUGCUGUUACCUCAGCUGAACCUUCAAAUGAACUCGUUGCACUGCCCUAGUCUUGGAGCCAGGAGACGAAGCACUCGAGUAGAUUCAAAACAGAGAGGCACUGUUGAGCAGACUGAAGGCUGCGCUCUGCACCAGCUCCAGUCACAGCACUUACAUUUCCUUUUUUCUCCCGUUGGUGGUAAGUAGGAUUAGGAUUCUUUUGUUGUUGUUGGUUUUUGUUUUUGUUUUUUUGUUUUUUGUUUUUUUCAUUUCUGUUGUGGUACUUCCGUACGUCUCCGUCACUCUCGGCCUGUCAGAUAGCUUAUCAGACUGGUGUUGGCUGUUUAGAUUUUAAGGCGACAACAGUCUGUAGGCUGUCUGACAUUUCGGGCUCUUUCAUCUGAUCAGCAUCCUGUCGUGCCCGUCGUGCCCCCCCCCUUCUGUUACUGUCAUUGUCUCAGAAAGCAUCAGUUCCCAUUUGGAGGCAUGUGUUGACGAUGUCACUUCCCUUUAAUCUCAACUGCUUUUGAAAUGUUGGGGGGGGGAGGGGUUGUUGGGAACUGUGAGGUUUUCAAAAAUUCAGAUGUAGUGACGUCAGCGAUGUACAUUUAUAUUUGUGCUGUGUGUGUGUGUGUGUGUGUCAGUUGGCUCCGUCCUCUUGAAUUUCCAGAGAAUCCAGACUGUACACACCUUAUUGCAACACAUCACACUGACACCCAGCCUUAGGUAUGGUACACACAGUGCUCAUAGAAUUCUCCUCUUCCCUUUUACACUUCUCUUUUUUCUUUCACUCAGGACUUUCUUCUGUUGCUCAACACGCACUUUUUGCAGGAGGCUGCAUUUUAUUGGAACAAACCUCUCGUGGGGACGUUUUUCUAAGGGCCACAAAUUGGUAAUUACACAAAGCUUAAAAUCAUUGCCUGACCAGCGGAUGCUUUUGCUGCAAAACCUCAGUUUUAUUUUAGACUAUUCUGUUUUUUCUAGACUAGUGCAAAAGUGUAAAAAAUAAAAAACGUUUUUCUCGGUCAUAAAAGUAAAAUCAGUGGAAUGGCUCGUCGGCUUAGCAAGUGUUUUUCUUGGCAGUUUCAGAAUGUCCUGUUCCUCAAGGGAGCCCCCUUUGGCAUGUGUGUGUGCGUGUGUGCGUGUGUAAAUUCUGUUCUUUUUCCGUGCCUGUAACUCUUGCCUGUUUUCUGUAACGUACUAAUUCCAAAUGUGUCUGCACGUGUUGUAUUUCCUCCUUUCAGCUAUUAAUAAAGUUGUUGAAAAGACA